GACACCUAUCACAUGCAUUUACAAACUUCCUCACAUCCUUAAACAUGUGUGGCCAAAAGAACCCUGCUUGAAGAACUUUUUCUGCAGUCUUUGUCACACUCAUAUGACCCCCAUAAAGUGAAGAAUGGCAAUCUUUAAUAACAUUCCCUAUCUCCUCAUCAGCUAAACAUCUUCUAAUCAACCCAUCUCCACAUCUCUUGAACAAAAAUGGCUCUUCCCAAUCAUAAUCCUUCACAUCAAAAAGAAAUUUCUUCUUUUGCUGCCAUGUUAGGUCAGGUGGAAGGAUUCCACACACUAGAUAGUUCACGAAAUCUGCAUACCAAGGGGUUUUUGCAUUCAUGAUUACUAACAGUUGUUCAUCAGGAAAAUAAUCAUCUAUUGGGGGUUCUUUUCCCAAAUUAUCCCCUUGUUCUUGCCUCAAUCUAGAUAGAUGAUUUGCUACCACAUUUUUUACUCCUUUCUUGUCUUUAAUUUCCAAGUCAAACUCUUGAAGGAGUAGCACCCACCUUAUCAAUCUAGGUUUAGCCUCUUUUUUCUGAAGGAGAUACUUGAUAGCUGCAUGAUCCGUGUACACUAUUACCUUUGACCCCACAAGAUAGGACCUGAAUUUGUCUACUGCAAAUACCACUGCCAAAAACUCUUUCUCUGUAGUAGAGUAAUUUAUUUGAGCAUCAUCUAAGGUUCUACUUGCAUAGUAUAUUGCAUACACCUUCUUAUCUCUCCUUUGUCCCAAAACAGCCCCAAUGGCAUAAUCACUAGCAUCGCACAUUAACUCAAAAGGUAAUGACCAAUCGGGUGGCUGCAUAAUAGGAGCAGAUAUCAAAGCUUCCUUUAUCCUGCAAAAAGCAUUCAUACAAUUAGUAUCAAAAUGGAAUUCCACAUCUUUACUCAAUAAAUUGGUAAGAGGUUUAGAAAUCUUAGAGAAAUCCUUGAUGAAUCUCCUGUAAAAUCCAGCAUGCCCCAAGAAACUCCUCACUCCCUUCACGGAUGUUGGGGGUGGCAUUUUCUUAAUAAUUUCUACCUUUCCUUUAUCCACUUCAAUACCCUUGUUUGACACAAGAUGUCCCAAAACAAUUCCUUCUUGUACCAUAAAAUGGCACUUUUCCCAAUUCAAAACUAAAUUGAACUCUUCACAUCUCUGCAAAACCUUAGACAAGUUAGAUAAGCAUUCAUCAAAAGAUUUACCAUAUACAGAAAAAUCAUCCAUGAACACUUCCAUAAUAUCCUCAAUCAUGUCAGAAAAUAUGGACAUCAUACAUCUUUGAAAUGUAGCAAGGGGCAUUACAUAGUCCAAAUGGCAUCCUUCGAUAUGCAAAG
rnacentral:misc_RNA from 1 species